rnacentral:lncRNA from 1 species
AGUGGGAUUCCUAGAGUGAAUGCCUUUGUAAAUGUAGGAGGGCCCUUUCUAAUGCAGCCCCCAUGAAUUCCUCACUCUCAAGCAAUUCUACACUCAGUCUGAAGCAAUUUAUAAAACAACCAUCUGAAUAUUCCUACCAGCUUAAGGAUUCCGGUGGCUUCUGCUCUAGAUGGAAAAUGCAGUCUAAAGAGAUGAGGGGACUUCUCCUGUG